rnacentral:rRNA from 1 species
GACGAACGCUGGCGGCGUGCCUAAUACAUGCAAGUCGAGCGAAGUUUUUCUGGUUCUUGCACUAGAAAAACUUAGCGGCGAACGGGUGAGUAACAAGUAAAGAACCUGCCUCAUAGACUGGGACAACGAUAGGAAACGAUAGCUAAUACCGGAUAACAGUAUUUCUCGGAUGAGGGAGAUUUAAAAGUUGGGUAUGCUAACACUAUGAGAUUGCUUUGCGGUGCAUUAGGUAGUUGGUGGGGUAAAGGCCCACCAAGGCGACGAUGCAUAGGCGAACUGAGAGGGUGAUAGCCCACACUGGGACUGGGCCACGGCCCAGGCUCCUACGAGAGGCAGCAGACGGGAAUCUUACGCAAAGGGGGAAAGCAUGGCGGAGCGGCGCCGAGUGAGUGAAGACGGAUUUCGGUUCGUAAAGCUCGGUUGUUAGGGAAGAAUGGAUAUGUAGUAACAAGAAAUGUAAGAGACGGUACCUGGCAAGAAAGCAACGGCUAACUACGUG